GCUCAACCAAUGAGAUGAUUUCUGUCUGGAGAGCAAAAAGUUUGAGGAUAUAAAAGCACAACCUGGUGAAUCUGCUGCAGUGGAAGAACAUUGUUCAUGUGCUGUCUGUCUGUCUUCAGCAGCUCCAAAGACAUGUUGCUGCAACUCUUUUUGUUUUCAUCUCACUUCAUAGGACUAACAGCUGGAGACUCAAUCACUCCUCAACGAGAUAAAGUCACUGCAACAGAAGGAGAAUCUGUCAAACUCACAUGUAGCUAUGAGACAACUUCAAGUUAUCCUCUACUUCACUGGUACAGACAUCAUUCUGACCUUCAGGCUCCUCAGUUUAUACUCUGGAAAGGAGGGAGACAGCAGACAGGUCAAUAUAUUCCUGAUAAACGUUAUAAAUCAGAAACAUCUUCUACAUCAACUAAUCUGAGCAUAGCAGCCCUAACCCUGGCAGACACAGCUCUCUACUACUGUGCUCUAGAAACACAGUGAUACAAAGUGUAGAAGAGGCUGUACAAAAACCUGAACACAGAUAUCUGACUACUCUUCAAAGAGGAGGGAAGUGGUAUUCAAAGCACAGCUUCAUAUCAGAUGGAUUCUGCUAAUUCCUGUUUUAUCAGAGUCACUGUGGUUACAGCUGCUAAUGAAACACUGUGGGAGGAUUCACAUGAGCAGCAAAUCCACAUCAACCACAAACCAACUGCAGGAACGUUCAGACACAA